AACGAACGCUGGCGGCAGGCUUAACACAUGCAAGUCGAACGGGCACCUUCGGGUGUCAGUGGCAGACGGGUGAGUAACGCGUGGGAACGUACCCUUCGGUUCGGAAUAACCCAGGGAAACUUGGGCUAACACCGGAUACGUCCGCAAGGAGAAAGAUUUAUCGCCGAAGGAUCGGCCCGCGUCGGAUUAGCUAGUUGGUGGGGUAAUGGCCCACCAAGGCGACGAUCCGUAGCUGGUCUGAGAGGAUGANCAGCCACACUGGGACUGAGACACGGCCCAGACUCCUACGGGAGGCAGCAGUGGGGAAUAUUGGACAAUGGGCGAAAGCCUGAUCCAGCCAUGCCGCGUGAGUGAAGAAGGCCUUAGGGUUGUAAAGCUCUUUCAGCGGGAAGAUAAUGACGGUACCCGCAGAAGAAGUCCCGGCUAACUUCGUGCCAG
rnacentral:rRNA from 1 species